UCAGAGUUCUCUGGUUACUCUAUUGGUCCCAACUGAUAACACUUAGAGUACAUAAUAGCUCUAAUUGUUACAAUUGAUAAUAGAUAGAGUACAUACGAUCUCAAUUGGUCUUAACUGACAACUAAUUGAGCAUUUAAGGGAAUAUGGGAUAUUACAGUAAGGGUUAGUAUACAAUAUAGAUUCAAAUUAGUUAGAAGCUAUGUAGGAAGAAAUCAAAGCAAUUGAAAUAAACAAAACCUAGGAGCUGGUAAAUAGAUCAAACAAGAAAGCAAUUGAU
rnacentral:lncRNA from 1 species